rnacentral:siRNA from 1 species
AUAUCUAGGUGCAAAUGAAGCAU